ACCUCCAGCUGGCGGGUGUCACAGGUGACACUGAGGCGUCCCCCCUGCGUACACAUCUUGGCAUUCAGGAGGCUUCCCAGGGCCCUUUCUGGAAGCUCCACGGGAGGACGGGCUCCUUCUGCCAACUCAUCCUCCAGGAGCUGGAAUCGACCAUAUUCCCACCAGGUGGAGAGGGACAGCGCCACAGCGUUGCAGGGUAACGUGUUUUCCGUCUGUGACGCUGCACAUGGCGUGUCUUUGCUUACGAGUGAGAACAAAUGGCUUCUUGGCCUUCGUACUUUGCUUUUGAAAUACCCGUUUGUCUUUCAGCCAGCGACCACGCAGCUCGUUGAUCUUGUUGAUUUGCAGGAACUUUCUGUAUAUUAAGGGUACGUCCGUCUUUUGUUUCAUGUGCUGUGAUAUUUUCUCAGUCUCUUUGGAAUAAUCAGUUCAUUAUUUUUUCUUGAUAAAAGGAGCACGUGGUCCAGUGUCUAGAACUUCUUUAUAUCAGUAUUUUCUUUGCUAGUCCAGGACAUCUUUCCUAAUGUCACUUCUGCAGUGAGGGCCGAGUGACAUCUCAUUGGGAUAGACACUUUUGUGGCCCCAGGCACGUGCCUGCAGGCAGUGAGUGGGGGGCUACAACGUCCUGCUGUGUGGCCCCACCCUGGAGUCUGCACCUGAGCCUGCGGGGAGAGGAGAAGCCACCCCAUUUCCCUGCAGGAGGUGGCCCCGCUAACAGACUGCAGAUGCCCGCUGCAGUGGACUUGGUGGCGGGGCCCUGUGGCGUGGCCCUGUGGGACAGGCAGGUCCCAGAGGAGGUUUCUCCUGUUCUGCCGCAAUCCCCCGUGUCCCUGUGUCCUCUCCUUCCUCCCUUCACCAGCCAGGACUGGGGACCCAGGAGCGGUGAACUUGGGAGCCCGAGAGGAACCCACCAGGGUCGCAGCCGUGGGGGGCGGAGGGCGCGGGCAGGACGCCGGGUGCUUUACGUGUGGCACGUGGGGGUUCUGCUCACACAGGCAUUUGAGGAAGGGUCACCCCCGUGGCGAAGCCACACAGUGCUCAUGGUCUCUUCUGGGCAGGGGGCCACGUGGGCAGAGGCCCAGGAGUUGGUCUGGACCAUGUGGUGAGCACAGGCCGGGCCUGGCUGAGCCCCUCGCAUCUCCCACUCCUGAAUGCGGCCUUCGUAACCCGCCGAGUGGGCGUCUGUGUAGCAGGCACCAUGCCAGGGCACUGAGUGGGUCCCUGGGAUGUGCCAUCUACAGCGCCCUGCUGGAGGCCAGGGAGACAGGGACAGGCCCUGGGCACGCAUGUGGAGGUGUCCUUGGCCUCUGGAAGUCGCCACUUUGCAGGUGACGUGUCUGGAAUACACAGCUCUUGCUCCACUGAGGGGACCCAGGGACCCAUCUAUAAUGUCCAGGCCUGUGCUCUGGGCAGCUGUGGCAAUCCCAGAAAAAGAACAAGCAUUCUACUCUUGUGGCACCUCACUGCCACAGGUCUGUCCCCAAGGAGCCGACGGCCUGGAGAAGGUAUGUCCUGCUGUGAUGAGCCUCCUCCUUGUGGUGGCAGGCCCCUGCCCUGCAGGACACGCUGAGUGGGAGGAGGACACCUCCCCAGGA
rnacentral:lncRNA from 1 species